rnacentral:rRNA from 1 species
AGUCGUGUUCUUUGAGAUUGGAGCACAAAUGUGUGUGAUACAUUUCACAUAAAGCUAAAUAUGUGUAGGAGACCGAUAGAAAACAAGUACCGUGAGGGAAAGAUGAAAUAGUACUCAGGAAUGAGCAAUUAAAUAGUACCUGAAAUCGUUAAGAUGGAACGGAUUAAGAAAGAAAAAAAGUAAAAAAGGAAUUAUAAAGCUUUAUACUUUAUUUUUGCUUUUUUAUUAAAAGAAACAUCAGUGAAAAGGAAAGGGAAAACUGAUUUUCUGAAUAAUUAAAUAAUAAUUAUUCUAUUUACUGAGGAAUUUUAAAAAAGAUAAAAUUUAUUUUAUCUUUUUAAGCUGUUUCUAAAAAAUACUUUCUUAACCCACUCGUCUUGAAACACGGACCAAGGAGUCUAACAAAUGUGCAAGUGUACAUGAAUAUACUAAACAUUAAAAAAAAUGUACGCAUAAUUAAUGUAAAAAUAUAUAUAUUGUAGAAAUAGCAAAAAAGGAAACUUCUUUGCUAAUUGCAUACAAUACCGAC